CAUGCAAGUCGAACGGCAGCACGGAGCUUGCUCUGGUGGCGAGUGGCGAACGGGUGAGUAAUAUAUCGGAACGUACCCUAGAGUGGGGGAUAACGUAGCGAAAGUUACGCUAAUACCGCAUACGAUCUAAGGAUGAAAGUGGGGGAUCGCAAGACCUCAUGCUCGUGGAGCGGCCGAUAUCUGAUUAGCUAGUUGGUAGGGUAAAAGCCUACCAAGGCAUCGAUCAGUAGCUGGUCUGAGAGGACGACCAGCCACACUGGAACUGAGACACGGUCCAGACUCCUACGGGAGGCAGCAGUGGGGAAUUUUGGACAAUGGGCGAAAGCCUGAUCCAGCAAUGCCGCGUGAGUGAAGAAGGCCUUCGGGUUGUAAAGCUCUUUUGUCAGGGAAGAAACGGUGAGAGCUAAUAUCUUUUGCUAAUGACGGUACCUGAAGAAUAAGCACCGGCUAACUACGUGCCAGCAGCCGCGGUAAUACGUAGGGUGCAAGCGUUAAUCGGAAUUACUGGGCGUAAAGCGUGCGCAGGCGGUUUUGUAAGUCUGAUGUGAAAUCCCCGGGCUCAACCUGGGAAUUGCAUUGGAGACUGCAAGGCUAGAAUCUGGCAGAGGGGGGUAGAAUUCCACGUGUAGCAGUGAAAUGCGUAGAUAUGUGGAGGAACACCGAUGGCGAAGGCAGCCCCCUGGGUCAAGAUUGACGCUCAUGCACGAAAGCGUGGGGAGCAAACAGGAUUAGAUACCCUGGUAGUCCACGCCCUAAACGAUGUCUACUAGUUGUCGGGUCUUAAUUGACUUGGUAACGCAGCUAACGCGUGAAGUAGACCGCCUGGGGAGUACGGUCGCAAGAUUAAAACUCAAAGGAAUUGACGGGGACCCGCACAAGCGGUGGAUGAUGUGGAUUAAUUCGAUGCAACGCGAAAAACCUUACCUACCCUUGACAUGGCUGGAAUCCUUGAGAGAUNNNGGAGUGCUCGAAAGAGANCCAGUACACAGGUGCUGCAUGGCUGUCGUCAGCUCGUGUCGUGAGAUGUUGGGUUAAGUCCCGCAACGAGCGCAACCCUUGUCAUUAGUUGCUACGAAAGGGCACUCUAAUGAGACUGCCGGUGACAAACCGGAGGAAGGUGGGGAUGACGUCAAGUCCUCAUGGCCCUUAUGGGUAGGGCUUCACACGUCAUACAAUGGUACAUACAGAGCGCCGCCAACCCGCGAGGGGGAGCUAAUCGCAGAAAGUGUAUCGUAGUCCGGAUUGUAGUCUGCAACUCGACUGCAUGAAGUUGGAAUCGCUAGUAAUCGCGGAUCAGCAUGUCGCGGUGAAUACGUUCCCGGGUCUUGUACACACCGCCCGUCACACCAUGGGAGCGGGUUUUACCAGAAGUAGGUAGCUUAACCGUAAGGAGGGCGCU
rnacentral:rRNA from 1 species